rnacentral:lncRNA from 1 species
AUGAUAAUAUAUAAAGGACAGAAAUUAUUGACCACUAUAUUUUUUUUCUAAAAAUUUAAUUCUUUUUAAUCUUAUGUUUUUCAUUAGUGUAUAAAUUUUGAAGUAUUUAAAAAUCAUCAAUUCUUUUACUUUCUGUAUUUCAGUAUACAUUCCCUUAUCAGGAAUUAAAUCAGGAAUUAAAUCCCUUUUCAAAAAUCCUUCAUCUGCCCCUACAAAGACAUGAUAGACGGAGGUUGAAAAAAAAGUACAAGGUGAUUUUAAUGGAUAUCUUGUUCCAUGCAAGCUGUGGAUUUCCAAAUUAAAAACAUUAUGGAAAGUUCAAGAUGGACAAUAUUGAAUUCCACUACUUCUUAUUUCCAUUUAGCAAAUAUUUUAGCAUACAGGAAACAAAAAAGACAUUCAUGCAAUAAACAUAUAAUACAUAAAAGGGAAACCACAUGCAACGAUGCAUAAUAAAAUGUUAGUACAUGUAGCACUUACACUAAAUGCUAACUCUUAGUUCAAAUUUAACAAUAUAUGAACAUGUAAAAAUUGGAAUAGGAAUACUGUAAGUUCAGAAAUUAUUGCAAGGUUUUUAUAAAUGCCUAUAACAUGUAUAAUGUGACUUCUUGAUUAUCGCAAUAAUAAGACUUUGCAUUCUUAUAUCAAACACAUAUACAUGUAUAUGUAUGUAAAACUUU